rnacentral:rRNA from 1 species
UUGAACGCUGGCGGAAUGCUUUACACAUGCAAGUCGAGCGGCAGCGCGGGGGCAACCCUGGCGGCGAGCGGCGAACGGGUGAGUAACAUAUCGGAACGUACCCAGACGUGGGGGAUAACACAUCGAAAGAUGUGCUAAUACCGCAUACGACCUGAGGGUGAAAGGGGGGGAUCGCAAGACCUCUCGCGUUUGGAGCGGCCGAUAUCGGAUUAGCUAGUUGGUGGGGUAAAGGCUCACCAAGGCGACGAUCCGUAGCUGGUCUGAGAGGACGACCAGCCACACUGGAACUGAGACACGGUCCAGACUCCUACGGGAGGCAGCAGUGGGGAAUUUUGGACAAUGGGGGAAACCCUGAUCCAGCCAUUCCGCGUGAGUGAAGAAGGCCUUCGGGUUGUAAAGCUCUUUCAGCAGGAACGAAACGGUCGGCUUUAAUAAAGUCGGCUAAUGACGGUACCUGCAGAAGAAGCACCGGCUAACUACGU